rnacentral:lncRNA from 12 species
CAUACAUUUAGUUACCUACCUGACAAGUUGUCUAUUUAACAGAGAAAAAAUGAUCUGACUAUGAUUGAUGGCACAGCUGCCCCUUCUCAGCGAUGGGGAAAAUAAGCUGAGUCAAAACAGAUCUGGCUACACCAGAGCACGUCUGUCUGCAGUGCUGUUCCCUCAUUUCUCUUCAUUUGGGAAAAUUGGAAUCAAGCUCCAAAGUCUGUAUCACUACCCUUUGUCUCUGGAUUCUUUUUUUCCAGUUUAUACAGAAAACCUGGCCAGAAGCAGCUGUCUUGGUAAACAAACAGACAAAAGUCAGAAGAGUUACUAAAUGGAGGAAGUGGAGUUUGCUCUUGAUUUGUGAAUAUGCCCAAGAAACGUCAUAAUAAGGGUAUUUUGUUUUUCGUCCAAAAUGGAAAACCUCUUCUUUAUGUGUACUUUAGAGUAAAUAAGCACAUCACUUACCAGGUGAUGAUGAAAAUAUGAUAUGAAUUAAAUAUGAAAAUAUGACUGGAAAAAAUAUAAUAGGGAAAGGAGUAUUACAGCAUAGUACUUUGCAUAAGUAUGAUACUGUUUUAUACAGAGUGAUUAACAAUAUAUUUUGUAAUUAAGUCUUAUUUAUUUAUUUAUUUUUAAGGAAAAAACAGCAAAUUUGAAGGAACUGAUUUAGACUAAUCUUUGUCAUAUUUGAAAAAUAGUGAAGCUUGUCAGAGGAAUUGCAGAACCUAAUUAUGAUCAGGAACCAGUCUGCCUUCCUAAUUGCAAGAUAUUAGCUGGGCAAACCGAGGCAAAGUUCUACCAUUUUCUCUAAAUUCUAACACACAAAAAAAGAAUUUCUCAAAUAUGGAUCAAGUGGAAUAAAACUAAUAGCCAGAGUGUGGGCA